AGAGGAGGAGGAGGAGGAGGAGAGAAAACCAAACGCGACUUGUUUAAGUGCCACAGCUCCUAUAAAAAUCCCCCUCCUCCAGUUUCUUCCGCGAGUUUUCUUUUUUCUUUUUUUUAAAGAACAGGAGGGGGCGGGAGGGUGAGGCACAGAGGAACGGGGAGACGCGCACGCUUGAGCUACAUUACAUAUUCGCUCGAGCUUGCGGUCCUGCCCCCGCACCGCAUCGGUUCUACCCUGGCAUCCCGCACGCUCGGCGCUGGUCUCUGGGGUUCUUAGCUCAUUGGGGGCGGUGGUGAGAAUCGCGCAGCAAAGCCCCUUUGGGUUUCUGAAAUUGAAUGUUUUAAUGCCGGAGACAGACCUUCAGAUCCCCCAGAGUAAUUGGCUCCAGAUGUCUGAGCAAAACAAACACCUAAUGAAAGGCUCAGAAACUCAGCUAAAAAAAAAGGUUUGACAUACCACAGUUGCGCCAGGAUUGAGUCGGUGUAUGUUCUGUACGUCAAUAAAAGUUAAGGUUUGGGGCAGAAUCCAGGGAGACCAACAAGACCAGGAGGGAACCAUGAGAAGAGAGUGCAGGAGGUGAGGGGAAAUGAGGAAGAGACUGGCAGGCUAGGCAGCACACGGGCAGGUUACUUAGGAAUGAUUGUCUACCCUUCCUAAUAAACUUCAUAAAAUAUA